CUUGAACAGUGUAUAAAAAACUACUGUGAUUACAGUAAGAUCGUAAAUUGGGGCAACUGAUGUAUAUUAAUGCAAUAUGAUAAAAACACAUCAGUAUUUUUCUUUACCCUCAUUUACAAGCAUGUUCCUCCUAGUACAUAGGAAUAUCGUUUUGUUCUUUAUUUCAGAUUGUUAAUGCCAAUAGUAACUGGGAUAUUACAACUUUAUAAAUUUACACGGUGUUCUUAAUGUUAUGUGUUCUCGGGACAGCAUUGUGUCUCUUCUAAACCUUUUUGUACUCUUACCCUGUAUAUGUCUCUGCCACCUAGCCUUGUCUUUCUGGAGAAAAAAAUUUACCACUUGUCCUAGUUGCCCUCUUCCUACAGAAAACCUAAACUUUAAUAUACUUCUAAAUUAGAUGUUAUAUUUUUGUGAUUUAACAUUUUCUGUCAUGUCCACAUUCUUUGCUCCAAGCAAUGCAUAUAUUUAAAACUUUUAGACUCUCUUUAUACAUAGGGGGAUAUUUAUCAAAGAGUUCUGAAAAGUGGAGAGUAUAUUCCCUCUUUAUUUUGACUGUGAUUAUUAAAGAAAUCGAAAACGUUUUGGUUAUCUUCAUUGUAAAUUACAAUGUUUUUUCAGGGAAAUUUCAACUUCAGAAGACUGCCAAAAUAUAGUGGCAGAAAAAUUCUGCCACUCUUCUGUUGAAAUAAUGAUAAAUCCGUUAAAAAAAAAUGUGCAUUAAAAAAAUGAGUUGGUGUACAAAAAAAGCACCGAUUGGAAAAUAAGCAAAUGUGUCCAAUUUGUGAAAAACCUUGCCCGAAAUUAGGCACACUUUGAUAAAUCUCCCCCACAGUGUUGUGGAGAACUUUGAACAUUCUAGGAAUCUGUCUCCAGUUUGUUUUUAUUAGACAAUAAAGUCUCAACACAGUCAGGAUUAUUCACGAAAGGGAGAGCUGCUGGGUAACUGAAAUCAGAACGGACUUACAGAAUUCUGCUGACUUCAGGCCAAAAUUUUGAAAUUCACUUUGUUUUCUUUCAAGUUGUACAGGGGUUCUGUUGUAGCAAAAUGUGUGUGAUUGUGAUUUUAUUCUUCUUUCUUAUUGUAUGAAACCAAUCUGGCUUGGCUGUUAGAUUCCUAUGAGUCAAGUCUAAUAUAUAUAUAUUUUUUUUACUAUUUUCUAUCCAACUCUUUGAAGCGUAAUUAAGUAACAUGCACUCCUAUCUUUUCUAAAACACCAAGUAAUUUUUUCUGAACCACAAACUGUGUCAAGCAUAGCUGCAUCCUUAAACCCCUACGCAUUUAACAAUUCUUGUUUUACCAAUGAGGGGUAACUUUGGCAUUUGAGUAUUUUUUUUAUUUUUCAUAGUAUACAUGCAAUAAGAGCUAAAGGUGUCUGUUUUAUAUAAUAAUCUGAAAUCCAUUUCAAGUUCAGGUAAUUUUUUUGUAACCGUAAUUUCAAUUUAGGUUUAUUUGUAACUGAAUAUCUAUGUAAAAAGACUGCAUUUCGAAAUAAAAGGGGUACAAUGUGUUGCCUUUUAAAGAGGAAUGUUUAUUAAUGUGCUGAAAAAGCACCAUUAAAAAUUGAAUGUUUAGUUUUUUUUAACAUUAGAAUCCACUACCUGAAACUGUGUAAUUUUUUUGGUUUUAUUCUGCUUAGUACUGCCUGUUUACACAUUCUAGUAUUGAGUGAUUUUGUUUUGAGGUUUUUUUUAACAUUUUUUUUUAAGAGGGGGUGGGGGUCGGGUUUGUUUAUUCCAGAAUCAAUAUUUAUUACACCCAUCCCAACUAUUCUGUAUUUUGGGACGGAAUCCUUUAUGCUGUAGCCUGAGUUUUGCUUGGACGUUAAAUGGCAAUUACGCCUGAGAUCCAUGGCGAAAAAGCAUAGGCGCCGUGUAGGAAAACAGGUUGUUUUUUUUUUCUUGGUGAUCAAGAGAUUCAUUUUUGUACAUGUUAAAUUAAGAAUAAACCGUAAGCGUGCAGCAUAUGCCAGGCAUGUAUUUCUAUCAUGUUAUCUUGUGACCAGUGGCAUUGCUAAUUAACUUUUUAUUUAUUUAUUUUUUAUUUAUUUGUAUUUUUAACCUAGUCCCAG